UUAUAUUUAUUUAUUUUUAUUAUUUUUAAUUUUAUUUUUAAUUUGAGUUAUAUUUUUAUUUUUGGUUUUAGUAUUAAUUUUAAUUAAUUUUUUUUUAUUAUAGUUUAUUUGUACUGUUAAGGAUUAUUUUUUUAAUUUUUUAAGUAGAAUUUGUUUUUUACCUUUUGUAUCAGGGUAUAUUUAAUUUAUUUAUUUAUUUAUUUUUCUCGAAUUAGAUUGAUCUAAUAAGUUAUGUUAUUUAAAGUUGUAAAUUUAUUUAUUAUUAUUUAUUAGUUGUGAAAUGCUAUUCGUAAUUUAAUAUAUCUAGUUUUCUUAUAAUUGAAUUUAAUUCAGUCUUUUNGAUUUUAUAUUUUUAUUUUAAAUUUUUAAUUUCUUUAAGGUAAGAUUAAGGGGGAUUAGCUUCUUAUUUAUUUUAUAAAUUUUGUUUUAUAUAUAUUAUAUAGGCCUUAUAAUAGCCAUUAUUAUUUAGUAUUUUAUAAUUUAAUAUAUUUAUUUUUUGAUUUUUUUUAUUUUAAUUAUUUAUUUGAAUUAAGUAUUAAAUUUUUUAUUAUUUUUAAUAAUGAUUUAAUUAGUAUAAUUUUAUUUAUUAAGUUUUCUUAUUUUUAAUUAUUUAUUAGGAAUUAGGCAAAAUAUUAUUUACUCGCCUGUUUAUCAAAAACAUCUUUUCUUGUUAUUUAUUUGAGAUUUGACCUGCCCAAUGAUUUAUUUAAUGGCCGCGGUAUUUUGACCGUGCAAAGGUAGCAUAAUCAUUAGUCAUUUAAUUGUUGACUUGUAUGAAUGGUUGGACGAAGUAUUAACUGUCUUAUUUAUAUUAUUAGAAUUUAAAUUUUGAGUUAAAAUGCUUAAAUUUUUUUAUAGGACGAGAAGACCCUGUAGAUCUUUAUUUAUUUAAUUUUUAUAUUUUUUGGGUUAUUUAUUUAUAAUUAUUAUAUAUUUUUUGUUGGGGUGACAAGGAGAUAAAAUUAACUCUUUAUUUUAUUUAACACUGAUUUGUGAUUUUUUGACCUUUUAUUAAUGUUAUAAGAUUUAGAUACCUCAGGGAUAACAGCGUAAUUCUUUUUGAGAGUUCAUAUCGACAGAAGAGAUUGCGACCUCGAUGUUGGAUUAAGAUUAUAAAUAGGUGUAGGUGCUUAUUAAUUAAGUCUGUUCGACUUUUGAAAUCUUACAUGAUCUGAGUUCAAACCGGCGUGAGCCAGGUUGGUUUCUAUCCAUAAUUUUCUAUUUUAUAUUAGUACGAAAGGACCAUAUAAUUCAAAUAAUUUGUUUAUUUUAUUAUUUU
rnacentral:rRNA from 1 species